GAUGAACGCUAGCUACAGGCUUAACACAUGCAAGUCGAGGGACCGGCGCACGGGUGAGUAACACGUAUCUAACCUGCCCUUUACUCGGGGAUAGCCUAUCGAAAGAAAGAUUAAUACCCGAUGUAGAGGAUGGGGAUGCGUUCCAUGAGGUUGUUGGUGAGGUAACGGCGCACAAAGCCUUCGAUGGAUAGGUGUUCUGAGAGGAAGGUCGCCCACAUUGGAACUGUGACACGGUCCAAACUGCUACGGGAGGCAGCGGUGAGGAAGACUGGUCAAUGGGCGUUAGCCUGAACCAGCCAAGUAGCGUGAAGGAUGAAGGCUUAUGGGUCUUAAACUUCUUUUAUAUAAGAAUAUGUAUUAUAUGAAUAAGGAUCGGCUAACUCCGUGCCAGCAGCCGCGGUAAUAC
rnacentral:rRNA from 1 species